rnacentral:rRNA from 1 species
GAUGAACGCUGGCGGCGUGCCUAAUACAUGCAAGUCGAGCGAACGGACGAGAAGCUUGCUUCUCUGAUGUUAGCGGCGGACGGGUGAGUAACACGUGGAUAACCUACCUAUAAGACUGGGAUAACUUCGGGAAACCGGAGCUAAUACCGGAUAAUAUUUUGAACCGCAUGGUUCAAAAGUGAAAGACGGUCUUGCUGUCACUUAUAGAUGGAUCCGCGCUGCAUUAACUAGUUGGUAAGGUAACGGCUUACCAAGGCAACGAUGCAUAGCCGACCUGAGAGGGUGAUCGGCCACACUGGAACUGAGACACGGUCCAGACUCCUACGGGAGGCAGCAGUAGGGAAUCUUCCGCAAUGGGCGAAAGCCUGGCGGAGCAACGCCGCGUGAGUGAUGAAGGUCUUCGGAUCGUAAAACUCUGUUAUUAGGGAAGAACAUAUGUGUAAGUAACUGUGCACAUCUUGACGGUACCUAAUCAGAAAGCCACGGCUAACUACGUG